GCCGGUGUGGUGUAAGUGGAUAACACUCCAUUAUCUUGAGGGCGCUCUGGGUUCGAAUCCCAGCACCGGCA